AAAAAAGAAAAAUCAAAAUUAGAUAGAGGGAGGACUUGAGAGUUUAACUUAUGUACAUUACCCCAUCUUUUGUCUCUCUUAGUCUGGAGAACAGAGACCCUCGAUUAAGAAUCCACGGCUUGAAUGCCCCAAUCAAGGAUUUUAAACGUUGUGAUUUUAACCCUCCAUAUUUAAUUAUGCAAAUCGAACGGCGGUUUAAAAAUCUGCGAGUUUACCUUUUUGUGCA
rnacentral:misc_RNA from 1 species